rnacentral:rRNA from 1 species
CCUACGGGAGGCAGCAGUGGGGAAUUUUGGACAAUGGACGCAAGUCUGAUCCAGCCAUGCCGCGUGCGGGAAGAAGGCCUUCGGGUUGUAAACCGCUUUUGUCAGGGAAGAAAAGGUUCUGGUUAAUACCUGGGACUCAUGACGGUACCUGAAGAAUAAGCACCGGCUAACUACGUGCCAGCAGCCGCGGUAAUACGUAGGGUGCAAGCGUUAAUCGGAAUUACUGGGCGUAAAGCGUGCGCAGGCGGUUAUGCAAGACAGAUGUGAAAUCCCCGGGCUCAACCUGGGAACUGCAUUUGUGACUGCAUAGCUAGAGUACGGUAGAGGGGGAGUGGAAUUCCGCGUGUAGCAGUGAAAUGCGUAGAUAUGCGGAGGAACACCGAUGGCGAAGGCAAUCCCCUGGACCUGUACUGACGCUCAUGCACGAAAGCGUGGGGAGCAAACAGGAUUAGAUACCCUGGUAGUCCACGCCCUAAACCGAUGUCAACUGGUUGUUGGGAGGGUUUCUUCUCAGUAACGAAGCUAACGCGUGAAGUUGACCGCCUGGGGAGUACGGCCGCAAGGUUGAAACUCGAAAUGAAUUGACGG